CCAAUAGCGUAUAUUAAAGUUGUUGCAGUUAAAAAGCUCGUAGUUGAAUUUUAGGCCUGACCGGACGGUCCGUCUCUGGCGAGUACUGUUCUGCUGUCGGGUCUAUCCUUCUGGUGAGCCGUUAUGCCCUUUAUUGGGUGUGUCGGGGAACCAGGACCAUUACCUUGAAAAAAUUAGAGUGUUUAAAGCGGGCUAUUGCUUGAAUAGAUU
rnacentral:rRNA from 1 species